UAAAUUAAAUUAGUUUCUUACAAAAUGUGUCGGACAUUUUGAAUCUUUCAUUAUGAUUAAAAAUUAGAGUUUCUUAUUAAUCUUAAAUUAUGUAAUAAAGGUUUAGAAAAAAUAAAAGAAAUUUGUUUUUAGUGUUAUAUUGUGGCUAAUGAAGGAGUUAAAAAGUCCUUCCAGUCAGUUGCAACAACAAUUAAAGCAGCAGGAAACAGCCAAGUACACAUGCAAGUGAUUGUUAUGAGGAUUGCAAAACUUUUAAAUAUCAGAAACUGAAGAAAGCAUUCAUAAUCAGCAGAUAUCAAAAAAGCGCAAAAGUACUGAUUUUACAACUCUUUUAAAGUUGAGGAAGAAUUUUAUGUUAAUGUUAAUGCAAAAGGUACGAAUAUUGACAGGUUAGCUAAUUUGAUGUAACAAUAAACAUGAAAUAAAGUUUGUGAAGACCUUAGUGCCAAAAAUACUUGCAUGCAUUAUUCAUGCAUGCUGUAUUAUAAUAUAGCAAGCAUGCAUGAUGCAUUUAAGUAUAAAAAAAAGUUACAAAUGUUUAAUUAUACAAAAAGAUUAUGGAUGUGGUACUGCAAGUAUAUUCAAUUGAUUAUGCAAGUAAGUUGUCCUACUUUACAUCUUUGAAGACUAAUAAUAAUUGUAAUGAACAUAUCUCAGACAAUAUACACUCGGAUUUAUAUUUUAGUUAAACCAUCACCACUUCCACAGCCACCUUGUCUCAAGCAUUAAAUCGCAUUCUAAGAUAUCUUUAUUCAAAUUAAGUGUGACUACUUUACCAAAAGACUCUAGAAUGGACCAAUCAAAUUUGAAUUGGGUGUUGUUGAAAAAAAGUGCUUGUUUUCAGGCAAAAGGUGAUCAACCAGCAGUUGUUUCUGUAAAUAUAUCAGGCUGGUUAGUUGCAGCUAAGCUUGUACAUGUUAGUGACAAUUUGAAAUGUAACCCGUCACUCCCGGGAGCAAAUUUGGCUGCGUUAACGGCGAUUUAUUUAAUGUCUUUGUUUGCGAUGAAAAACAACAAAUUAUUUUUCCAUCUACAAGUCAAGCAAUUAUUUAUGAUGCUUAUAGAAAAUUUCAAUACCGUGGAUUAACAAAUUACAAUUUGGAAUGGCGAGGAUCUUAUUAUUCUAACAGAACGAGAUAAUUAUGGAACAGUUUGCGUUGACGUUUACGGUUCAUUCUAUAGUUCUUUAAACUAAUCUGUGAAACUUAUAUGUUAGUUAUGAUUGAUAUUGACGGUUGAUAUUAAA